rnacentral:rRNA from 1 species
GACGAACGCUGGCGGCGUGCUUAACACAUGCAAGUCGAACGGUGAAGCGCCUUCCUUUUUGGUGGGUGUGGAUGAGUGGCGAACGGGUGAGUAACACGUGAGUAACCUGCCCCCUUCUUCUGGAUAACCGCAUGAAAGUGUGGCUAAUACGGGAUAUUCUGGGUCUGUCGCAUGAUGGGUCUGGGAAAGAUAUUGUUUCGGUGGGGGAUGGGCUCGCGGCCUAUCAGCUUGUUGGUGGGGUGAUGGCCUACCAAGGCGGGGACGGGUAGCCGGCCUGAGAGGGUGGACGGUCACACUGGGACUGAGACACGGCCCAGACUCCUACGGGAGGCAGCAGUGGGGAAUAUUCCACAAUGGGCGCAAGCCUGAUGCAGCGACGCCGCGUGAGGGAUGGAGGCCUGCGGGUUGUGAACCUCUUUCGCCAGUGAAGCAGGCCUGCCUCGUUUGUGGGUGGGUUGACGGUAGCUGGAUAAGAAGCGCCGGCUAACUACGUG